rnacentral:rRNA from 1 species
GUCGAACGCUGGCGGCGUGCUUAACACAUGCAAGUCGAGCGAGGAAAUUCCUUCGGGGAUUUCCUAGCGGCGGACGGGUGAGUAACACGUGGGCAACCUGCCUGAUAGAGGGGGAUAGCCUCCCGAAAGGGAGAUUAAUACCGCAUGGCGUCAAAUGAAGGCAUCUUCAAAUGACCAUAGGAGUAAUCCGCUAUCAGAUGGGCCCGCGGCGCAUUAGCUAGUUGGUGAGGUAACGGCUCACCAAGGCGACGAUGCGUAGCCGACCUGAGAGGGUGAUCGGCCACAUUGGGACUGAGACACGGCCCAGACUCCUACGGGAGGCAGCAGUGGGGAAUAUUGCACAAUGGGGGAAACCCUGAUGCAGCAACGCCGCGUGAGUGAUGAAGGCCUUCGGGUUGUAAAGCUCUGUCUUCAGGGACGAUAAUGACGGUACCUGAGGAGGAAGCCACGGCUAACUACGUGCCAGCCGCCGCAGUAA